AGCCGCAGCAGCCCGGUUACCCGUCCAAGCCGCAGCAGCCCGGUUACCCGUCCAAGCCGCAGCAGCCCGGUUACUCGUCCAGUGGCAAUUUUGGGACUAAAAGAAGAUUUGGCUACUGAUGUCUUGGAGAUGUUUCAUCUGAUGGGCCUUGAUGAACUGAAGCUUAUAUGUUAGAGUCUCUGGAAAAAAAAAUAAAUGCAUUUUGUCUUA